GACGUAGGGCGCGAGCGUUGUCCGGAUUUAUUGGGCGUAAAGAGCUCGUAGGCGGCUUGUCGCGUCGUCUGUGAAAUCCCGCGGCUCAACUGCGGGCUGGCAGUCGAUACGGGCAGGCUGGAGUUCGGUAGGGGAGACUGGAAUUCCUGGUGUAGCGGUGAAAUUCGCAGAUAUCAGGAGGAACACCGGUGGCGAAGGCGGGUCUCUGGGCCGAUACUGACGCUGAGGAGCGAAAGCGUGGGGAGCGAACAGG
rnacentral:rRNA from 1 species